rnacentral:rRNA from 1 species
GCUAUGGUAUAACUUAGUGGCAGACGGGUGAGUAAUGUAUAGGAAUCUACCUAGUAGUACGGAAUAAUUGUUGGAAACGACAACUAAUACCGUAUACGCCCUACGGGGGAAAAAUUUAUUGCUAUUAGAUGAGCCUAUAUUAGAUUAGCUAGUUGGUGGGGUAAUAGCCUACCAAGGUAAUGAUCUAUAGCUGAUCUGAGAGGAUGAUCAGCCACACUGGAACUGAGAUACGGUCCAGACUCCUACGGGAGGCAGCAGUGGGGAAUAUUGGACAAUGGGCGAAAGCCUGAUCCAGCCAUGCCGCAUGAGUGAAGAAGGCCUUUGGGUUGUAAAGCUCUUUUAGUGAGGAAGAUAAUGACGGUACUCACAGAAGAAGUCCUGGCUAACUCCGUGCCAGCAGCCGCGGUAAUACGGAGAGGGCUAGCGUUAUUCGGAAUUAUUGGGCGUAAAGGGCGCGUAGGCUGGUUAAUAAGUUAAAAGUGAAAUCCCGAGGCUUAACCUUGGAAUUGCUUUUAAAACUAUUAAUCUAGAGAUUGAAAGAGGAUAGGGGAAUUCCUGAUGUAGAGGUAAAAUUCGUAAAUAUUAGGAGGAACACCAGUGGCGAAGGCGUCUAUCUGGUUCAAAUCUGACGCUGAAGCGCGAAGGCGUGGGGAGCAAACAGGAUUAGAUACCCUGGUAGUCCACGCUGUAAACGAUGAAUGUUAAAUAUGGGGAGUUUACUUUCUGUAUUACAGCUAACGCGUUAAACAUUCCGCCUGGGGACUACGGUCGCAAGAUUAAAACUCAAAGGAAUUGACGGGGACCCGCACAAGCGGUGGAGCAUGUGGUUUAAUUCG